UCAUUGUCUGCACAGGUGCAUGACUUGCUGAAACUGUAUCAUGGAAUUGACGUCCCUCCAGAACGAUUGUUAUUUAAAAUUCCUUCAACUUGGCAAGGAAUAGAGGCAUCAAGAGUAUUGGAAUCUGAAGGCAUACAGACACACUUGACUUUAUUUACAGCUUUGGCCAAGCUGCGGCUGUAGCUCAAGCCGGUGCUUCUAUUAUUCAAAUUUUUGUUGGUCG